UUUGCUUCUCAGCCUUUUGGCUAAGAUCAAGUGUCAUAUCUGUUCUUAUCAGUUUCAUAUCUGACCUUUUCUAUCCAAGGAGAGUAUAUUAAAUAUAUUUCUGGAGCAGGGAGAUGGAAUAGGGACUUGCUCUGUCCAUUCUGCGUAUCAACAGGGUAUUGCAGUACUUAUGGGAAUGGAGUACCAAGG